AAGAUAGAGGCGCGUCUUGAGAUGAUUAGCUGGAUUGAGGUUGCCAAAACCGGUGAUUUCCAGUAAAAGGCUUUGGUCGCCGAAGGGGGAUGCGUGGCUGGCAUCAGCCCUGGUUGUAUUGGUAAAGAACCUUACAACUGUCAUCAUAGAAUAUGAUGGAGAACUAUCAG
rnacentral:ncRNA from 1 species